rnacentral:rRNA from 1 species
AUUGAACGCUGGCGGCAGGCCUAACACAUGCAAGUCGAGCGGAGCGGCGGACGGGUGAGUAAUGCCUAGGAAUCUGCCUGGUAGUGGUGGAUAACGUCCGGAAACGCGCGCUAAUACCGCAUACUAUCAGAUGAGCCUAGGUCGGAUUAGCUAGUUGGUGGGGUAAAGGCAUACCAAGGCGAGGAUCCGUAACUGGUCUGAGUGGGUGUGCAGUCACACUGGAACUGCGACACGGUCCAGACUCCUACGGGAGGCAGCAGUGGUGAAUAUUGGACAAUGGUCGAAAGCCUGAUCCAGCCAUGACGCGUGUGUGAAGAAGGUCUUCGGAUUGUAAAGCACUUUAAGUUGGGAGGCGUUACCAACAGAAUAAGCACCGGCUAACUUCGUGCCAGCCGCCGCGGUAAUUC